CACAGAGGGUGCGAACGUUGCUCGGAAUAACUGGGCGUAAAGCGCGUGUAGGCGGUCCGUUAAGUCGGCUGUGAAAUCCCAUAGCUUAACUAUGGAAGUGCAGUCGAUACUGGCGGACUUGAAUCCUGGAGAGGGUGGUAGAAUUCCUGGUGUAGAGGUGAAAUUCGUAGAUAUCAGGAGGAAUACCGGUGGCGAAGGCGACCACCUGGACGGGUAUUGACGCUGAGAACGCGGAAAGCGUGGGGAGAAACAGGAUUCAGAUACCCCCGUAGUCC
rnacentral:rRNA from 1 species